AGGGGGACGUUUCCUUAACUCGUGCCCAAUGAUAGAAGCCUGCCUGUGUCUCAACUUGCAUAGGCCCUCAGUGUGUGUACGCAUGUUAACCUGCACAGCCCACGGGUAGCUGCAUAGUAGGAUGCCCUCAGGAAAUAAACCUUGGGCACACCUUGGUGUCAAGGCAAGUUCCCCUGGGUGCACUGCACGUAUGGGGUGCAUGGUGCUUGAAACAAGACACUCUCAGCACAAUAGGAGAGUUUGGCACUAUCCUUUCCCUAUGCGCAGUGUGUUGUCCUUAUACAGCAUGCCAAGGGACUUGUCUCAGCACUUUUUGGUGGUUGGACAACAUCCCAUGUGCACGCACCCACGUAGAGGAGCCCUGUGGCCCACCAAUGUUGGUACUUCAGUG
rnacentral:lncRNA from 1 species